UCCUUGGCAAAGAAGACCUGGCGUCGGAUGUGGAGAUGGAUGCACUGGCGGCCAUGACGGAGGGGUACUCGGGCAGUGAUCU
rnacentral:ribozyme from 1 species